rnacentral:lncRNA from 1 species
AUAUGAUAACAAACAUUACAAACAUUACAAAUAUUACAAAUACAUGAAUCCAAAUAUUCUGUCUUCAGUCAAUGCGGCAAAUAUUACAAAUACGCAUCCAGGUCUGAUACAAUCUCAACGCAGCAAAUAUUAUAUAUGAGCAAACAACGUUCAAAUAAAAUUAUAACUAAAUGAUGCCUGAUGACGUACUAGCACUCGAUCGGCGACGUCUCCCACUCCUUGAUGCAACCGGAGGUCUUCCAUCUGUAGCAUCACCUGUAGGGCCAGCUUCAGCGGAACUGGGGCCAGCAUCAUUGGUUGGACAACGUUUAUACGUGUGUCC